rnacentral:rRNA from 1 species
UACGUAGGGACCGAGCGUUGUCCGGAAUCAUUGGGCGUAAAGAGCGUGUAGGCGGCCAGAUAAGUCCGCUGUGAAAUCUCGAGGCUCAACUUCGAGCUGUCGGUGGAAACUGUCUGGCUAGAGUCCGGAAGAGGAGAAUGGAAUUCCUGGUGUAGCGGUGAAAUGCGCAGAUAUCAGGAAGAACACCCGUGGCGAAGGCGGUUCUCUGGGACGGUACUGACGCUGAGACGCGAAAGCGUGGGGAGCGAACAGG